CGACGUGAGGAACCUGCCUUCCAGAGGGGGACAACAGUUGGAAACGACUGCUAAUACCGCAUGAUGCAUUUGAAUCGCAUGGUUUGAAUGUCAAAGAUUUAUCGCUGGAAGAUGGCCUCGCGUCUGAUUAGCUAGUUGGUGAGGUAACGGCCCACCAAGGCGACGAUCAGUAGCCGGACUGAGAGGUUGGCCGGCCACGUUGGGACUGAGAUACGGCCCAGACUCCUACGGAAGGCAGCAG
rnacentral:rRNA from 1 species